CGUUUUGCACUCCAUUUACAUUUUUUUUAACGACCAACAAAUCCAUCCUAAGCACUUUCGGGACAACCACCGGAAACGGUGCCUAAACUCAAAUUUGCCCCCCAAACUACCGAUUUUAAGAAGACACUAAAUAUCUGAUUUUGGCAAAUCCUUCAUGUAAACCUUGUUUCAAAGUGUAUGCACUCUAGGUGUUCGAUGAAUUGUCUCACAGAAUUAUUGCUAUAAGGAUCUCAUAGAUGAGUAACAGUUGUAUUUGUUUCUUCUGAUUAUCACAUAGCAAUACGAUAAGUUGAUGUGUUUAGACCAUGUGUAGUGGUAGAACACUAUAAUGCCCCCACCAUGGGGCGUUUUGCGCCAUGUGGCGUCCUAGUCAGCAAGAGGGCAUUAUAGCAAAAGUGGUGUAGUGGGUAUAAUGCCCCAUAAUGCCCCACUCAAUCAUUUUACAUUUAUUUUUGUUUCGGUCGAAAGAUGGUGGGUGGGUCGAAAGAUGGUGGGUGGGUCGAAAGAUGGUGGGUCGAAAGAUGGUGGGUGGGUCGAAAGAUGGUGGGUGGGCAGCGUUAUAAUUUAAACGCCGAACGGGAUUUUUUUCGAAAAUAACGCCGUAAAACGCCCCCUGUAAUGGGGGGUUGGGCGUUUUCGGGCGUUUUCGCGCAAUUUUUUUUUAAAAAAAACGCCCCAUUACGCUUGGUCUUAGUAUCAUCUGUUCUUGCAGAGUCUGUGUUCUUAUAAUUUUCCACUCUAAUGGUAGUUUGUUUGCGAAGUGUGGUGAUCGAAGCUACUUAGCCUAUCACAUAAGCAGUUUUAAUCCUAACUAAGCUGGUAGUUUCAUUCUGUUGUCGCCUCUCAGUCUCUUUUUAUUUUAUGUGUUUGUAUAUGGCCAUUUUAGUGGCUUUGAUUUCGAACGCUGUCUUUCUCAUUUCCACCAACUUUGACAACAUUUAUUUAGUGGUUAAGAUCAUAAGAAACUACCUGGUUACUUGUAACAAUUUCAAGUUGUUUGGGGAGUUCUUUAGUAAUAAUGAUGACUAUUCGCUCAUUUUGUUUAAAGUAAA